rnacentral:rRNA from 1 species
CACGCCUUAAACGAUGGUCACUCGAUGUUGGCGAUAUACAGUCAGCGUCUGAGCGAAAGCAUUAAGUGACCCACCUGGGGAGUACGACCGCAAGGUUGAAACUCAAAGGAAUUGACGGGGCCCGCACAAGCGGAGGAGCAUGUGGUUUAAUUCGAUGAUACGCGAGGAACCUUACCUGGGCUCGAACGUGAGAUGACUUACUGUGAAAGCAGUAUUCCCUUCGGGGCGAUCUUACGAGGUGCUGCAUGGUUGUCGUCAGCUCGUGCCGUGAGGUGUCGGGCGUAAGUCCCAUAACGAGCGCAACCCUUAUCAUUAGUUGCCGUCAGGUAAUGCUGGGGACGUCUAAUGAAACUGCCUACGCAAGUAGU